UACGUAGGGGGCAAGCGUUGUCCGGAUUUAUUGGGCGUAAAGAGCGUGUAGGCGGUUUGGUAGGUCCGCUGUGAAAACUCGAGGCUCAACCUCGAGACGCCGGUGGAAACCAUCAGACUAGAGUCCGGAAGAGGAGAGUGGAAUUCCUGGUGUAGCGGUGAAAUGCGCAGAUAUCAGGAAGAACACCCGUGGCUAAGGCGGCUCUCUAGUACGGUACUGACGCUGAGGCGCGAAAGCGUGGGGAGCGAACAGG
rnacentral:rRNA from 1 species